rnacentral:lncRNA from 1 species
AGAUAUUUUUUUGUAUAUUAGGACAAUUUUGAGUCGAUUUAACCAAGGAUGACGAGAGAUGAACAAGGAUGAACAACUCUGAAGAGAAUUCUUGUCCAGGGUGAAAUGCAAAAAGUCUACAUACAUCACGUAGAACUGAAAACAGAGAAUAUUGAACUAUUGCAAUAUGUUAGCUGUUUCCAUCGUUGCCAUCAUGGUAUAGUGGUAAAGACUGAGGCCAUCAUGAGCGAACGUUGUGGACCGUCUCCAGGUAAGACUCUCGUAACUUUUCGUAUAAUUUUUCUUUAUUUCUUUUUGCCAUUAUUUUUCGAAACAUGUCUCUAAAUCGCACCUCCUAACAGCUGAAUAUUCAUUUUUAGAUAUUUUUUUGUAUAUUAGGACAAUUUUGAGUCGAUUUAACCAAGGAUGACGAGAGAUGAACAAGGAUGAACAACUCUGAAGAGAAUUCUUGUCCAGGGUGAAAUGCAAAAAAUCUACAUACAUCAAGUAGAACUGAAAACAAAGAAUAUUGAACUAUUGCAAUAUGUUACCUGUUUCCAUCGUUGCCAUCAUGGUCUAGUGGUAAAGACUGAGGCCAUCAUGGUCUAGUGGUAAAGACUGAGGCCAUCAUGAGCGAAUGUUGUGGACCGUCUCCAGGUAAGACUCUCGUAAUGUCAAAAUGUGCUUAAAAAUUUUCCUGAGCGAAAACUUUCUUCAUCAUUAUGCCUUUUGGACAUUUCUAAGUCGGUCCAUGACGGAAAAGUUUAUUCG